UUUAAUUCGACGCAACGCGAAGAACCUUACCUAGGUUUGACAUGGACGAGAUCGCCGGUGAAAGUCGGCUUCCCUUCGGGGCUGGUCCACAGGUGCUGCAUGGCUGUCGUCAGCUCGUGUCGUGAGAUGUUGGGUUAGGUCCCGCAACGAGCGCAACCCCUGCCCUCUGUUGCUACCGGGUCCUGCCGGGCACUCUGAGGGGACUGCCUCGGUUAACGGGGAGGAAGGUGGGGAUGACGUCAAGUCCUCAUGGCCUUUAUGCCUAGGGCUACACACGUGCUACAAUGGUCAGGACAAAGGGCUGCUACUUCGUAAGGAGACGCGAAUCCCAAAAACCUGGCCCCAGUUCGGAUGGUCGGCUGCAACUCGCCGGCUUGAAGCUGGAAUCGCUAGUAAUCGGAGAUCAGCACGCUC
rnacentral:rRNA from 1 species